rnacentral:rRNA from 1 species
CCUACGGGAGGCUGCAGUGAGGCAUAUUGGUCAAUGGGCGUAAGCCUGAACCAGCCAAGUCGCGUGAGGGAUGAAGGUUCUAUGGAUCGUAAAUCUCUUUUAUAAGGGAAUAAAGUGUGGGACGUGUCCUGUUUUGUAUGUACCUUAUGAAUAAGGAUCGGCUAACUUCGUACCAGCAGCCGAGGUAAUACGGAGGAUCCGAGCGUUAUACGGAUUUAUUGGGCUGAAAGGGUGCGAAGGCGGCCUUUUAAGUCAGCGGUGAAAGUCUGUGGCUCAACCAUAGAAUUGCCGUUGAAACUGGGAGGCUUGAGUAUGUUAGAGGCAGGCGGAAUGCGUGGUGUAGCGGUGAAAUGCUUAGAUAUCACGCGGAACCC